rnacentral:lncRNA from 1 species
CGAUUGCUCGUCGUCACUCGCAAUCGGCCUCCUACGGCGCACGCCGCACGGCUCGACCCAACUCAAGCGCGACUGCCAAAUGACCUCCUAUCGGCGAUCCGUCUGUUCUGGAGUUUAUUCCUCGACACCACGAUGCUACGAUUCCAUUUCCAUGAUUUUUGGAAGCUUUCGCCGCGAGCUGCGGCAAUCUGUACCUUAACGGCUUCGAUCCUCAAUAUCUUUGUAGCGGCUCGACGGAUUGCCAAACCGUCGCUUCCAACGCGUUUAGUGACCUAUCAAUUAGGUUUACAGAGGGUUAAAAGAGAUCAAACCCAACUACUUCUCAAAAUCCCAUUUUAAGCCCUAGGUUUGCCAUUAAAUAAAAACCCACCAUUAAACCCUUGGAUCUAAGCAUAAUCCAUCUAAUUAGCAUCAAAGGGGUCCACUAAAUCCAUUUCCAAAGCAUCUAGACCUAUCUUUAGAGAUCUACCAUUGAAGCCCUCAUUUUGGAGCUCUAGGUUUCACUAGGGAAAAACCCAUCAUUAGAGCUUUAGAUCGAAGCUCUAAUCGUCUAUUUAGCAAGCUAGAAUACCUCUAAAUCCGUUCUUGGAGUUCAAAACCCAAACUAUAGAAAGCUACCAUUGUUGAGCAUCAAAAGCUUACCUUAGAGCUUGCUCCAAUGGCCUUAAGAGGAAG